CCUACGGGCGGCAGCAGUGAGGAAUAUUGGUCAAUGGGCGGAAGCCUGAACCAGCCAAGUAGCGUGCGGGAUGAAGGCCCUACGGGUCGUAAACCGCUUUUGCACGGGGAUAACACCCUCCACUUGUGGAGGUCUGCAGGUACCGUGCGAAUAAGAGCCGGCUAAUUCCGUGCCAGCAGCCGCGGUAAUAGGGAAGGCCCGAGCGUUAUCCGGAUUCAUUGGGCUUAAAGGGAGCGUAGGCGGGCGUUCAAGUCAGCUGUAAAAUCGCGCGGCUCAACCGCCCCCCGCAGUUGAAACUGGACGCCUUGAGUACACAAGAGGCAGGCGGAAGUCGUGGUGUAGCGGUGAAAUGCAUAGAUAUCACGAGGAACCCCGAUUGCGAAGGCGGCUUACUGGACUGUAACUGACGUUGAGGCUCGAAAGCGUGGGGAGCAAGCAGGAUUAGAUACCCGAGUAGUC
rnacentral:rRNA from 1 species